UAAAUUUUAAGUUUAUUUAUUCACAAAUAAGUUUCUCAAAAAACAUGGCUUGAUCAUGUAGAAUGCUUCCAGUAACUGGAUCUUGCAGCAGCAGCAGCCAGCAG